rnacentral:rRNA from 1 species
AAGCUCGUAGUUGAAUUUCGGGAUCAAUAUUUUGGUCAUGCCAUUGGUAUGCACUGUUAUCAUUGAUUUUUCACUUUCUAAAGAACUGUAAUGCCAUUAAUUUGGUGUUACGGGAGUUAGAACUGUUACUUUGAAAAAAUUAGAGUGUUUAAAGCAAGCUCACACUUGAAUACAUUAGCAUGAAAUAAUGAAAUAGGACAUCCAAUUCUAUUUUGUUGGUUUCUAGGAUCGAUGUAAUGAUUAAUAGGGAUAGUUGGG